UGAAUUCCUCCAAAUGCCCGCAUAUGGCAGAUGGUUGUUCCCAAACUGCCAUAGCCCAGGAGAGUGCCCUUCUUGACAAUAGCGUAAUUAUAUAUGCUAUCUUCGAUCGGUCUGAAGAAAACGAAGAUGGAUGUAGCUCAAAAAUAAGCAAGCACUGAGAAAGAAAACCCCGGCAGGCACCAGGAUUCGCACUGGAGGAGCCUGGGCUUUAACCAGGGACCCUCUUCACACAUCGACAGUCACCCUCGAAGCAUCGUUACCUAUCGCCCCACAAAAGCCAUGGCGCUUGCAGAGCAAGGGGAACAACUACUUCAACUACUCAGAGCAGGGAGGUGUCUAAUGGCUAUACCCCAGCCAUUCAAUCUGGCAUUUCUAUGUCAGACAGACCUGAUCCCCAGCCACUAUACUCUGAACAUAUGGGAGAAUGGGUGAUCCAGAAGAACUCAGAAACCGGCAGAUAAAAGGAGGAGAAUGAAAUACAUUGAAGGCCAAAUGAAUAGGAGCGCUUGUGAUUGCAGCAGACAAACAUGGAACAACCACCUGGAGUGAAGCGAAAGCCUUCUCCCUGCAUGAUGUCAACUGAUUAGCUUAUCUGCAUUUUUACUAAACCACUUCUCUUCUCCUGUU
rnacentral:lncRNA from 1 species